CAGCCGUAAACUAUGCUCGCUAGGUGUCAGGGACGGUGCGACCGUUUCUGGUGCCGCAGGGAAGCCGUGAAGCGAGCCACCUGGGAAGUACGGUCGCAAGGCUGAAACUUAAAGGAUUGGCGGGGGAGCACUACAACGGGUGGAGCCUGCGGUUUAAUUGGACUCAACGCCGGAAAACUCACCGGGGGCGACAGCAAUAUGUAGGUCAAGCUAAAGACCUUGCCUGAAUCGCUGAGAGGUGGUGCAUGGCGUCAGUGACU
rnacentral:rRNA from 1 species